AACGAACGCUGGCGGCAUGCCUAACACAUGCAAGUCGAACGAGACCUUCGGGUCUAGUGGCGAACGGGUGCGUAACGCGUGGGAACCUGCCCUUAGGUUCGGAAUAACUCCCCGAAAGGGGUGCUAAUACCGGAUAAUGUCUUCGGACCAAAGAUUUAUCGCCUUUGGAUGGGCCCGCGUUGGAUUAGCUAGUUGGUAGGGUAAAAGCCUACCAAGGCGACGAUCCAUAGCUGGUCUGAGAGGAUGAUCAGCCACACUGGGACUGAGACACGGCCCAGACUCCUACGGGAGGAAGGAGUGGGGAAUAUUGGACAAUGGGCCAAAGGCUGAUCCAGCAAUGCCGCGUGAGUGAUGAAGGCCUUAGGGUUGUAAAGCUCUUUUACCCGGGAUGAUAAUGACAGUACCGGGAGAAUAAGCUCCGGCUAACUCCGUG
rnacentral:rRNA from 1 species